rnacentral:misc_RNA from 1 species
GAAAUGCGAUAAGUAAUGUGAAUUGCAGAAUUCAGUGAAUCAUCGAAUCUUUGAACGCACAUUGCGCCCGCCAGCACUCUGGCGUGCAUGCCUGUUCGAGCGUCAUUUCAACCAUCACGCCCCCGGGCUUGCGUUGGGGACCUGCGGCUGCCCGCAGGCCCUGAAAACCAGUGGCGGGCUUGCUGUCACCCCGGUCGUAGGAGUAUCAUCUCGUCACGUGCGUGGCUACGGGCUCCGGCCGUUAAACCUUGUCAAACCCAAAGGUUGACCUCAGAUCAGGUAGGAAUACCCGCUGAACUUAA